CGUGGAGUCUUAUAUAUCUCCCCAGGUCUUCUUACGACUGUUAUAUCUCAACUAGGAGUACUUCAGCUGCUCCUCUGCACAUCCAUGAAACACACUGGAAUCAUCCCUACCUUCCUUUCUAUGAGGACCUACCACACAGUAGACAGAAAAUAACCAUUGUAAAUGAACAAAACAGGAUGAACCUGGCAGGAUCAGUCUAAUGGCUCCAGCUGUGAUACAGAUGACAAAGUCUGCUAAUGAAAGGGA